CUUUCUCUGGCCCCGCCCCCUUCUCGGCCUCGGCACCUGCGGAAUCGGGGACGUUUCCCGGGAUUUGAAAUUCCCGGGAUUUGGGGGAAUUUCCCGGGAUUUGGGGAAUUUCCCGGGAUUUGGGGAAUUUCCCGGGAUUUGGGGAAUUUCCCGGGAUUUGGGGAUUUUCCCGGGAUUUUGGGGAAUUUCCCGGGAUUUGGGGGAAUUUCCCGGGAUUUGGGGGAUUUUCCCGGGAUUUGGGGAAUUUCCCGGGAUUUGGGGAAUUUCCCGGGAUUUGGGGAAUUUCCCAGGAUUUGGGAUUCCUGGGAUUUAGGAUUUUCAGUAUUUGGGAUUUCCUGGGAUUUGGAAUUCCUGGGAUUUGGGAUUCCCGGGAUUUGGGAUUCCCGGGAUUUGGAAUUCCCGGGAUUCAGGAUUCCCAGGAUUUCAGUUUUUUGGGGUUUCUGGAAUUCCCAGGAUUUGGAAUUCCUGGGAUUCGGGAUUCCCGGGAUUUGGGAUUUCUGUGAUUUUUGGGAUUUGGAAUUUCCCGGGAUUUGGAAUUCCCAGGAUUUGGGAUUUCCCGGGAUUUGGGGUUUCUGGGAUUCCCAGGAUUUGGAAUUCCUGGGAUUUGAAAUUUCCCGGGAUUUGGGAUUCCCCGGAUUCCCAGGAUUUGGGAUUCCCAGGAUUCCCGGGAUUUGGGAUUCCCCGGAUUCCCAGGAUUCAGGAUUCCCAGGAUUUGGGAUUCCCAAGAUUUGGGAUUCCCCGGAUUCCCAGGAUUCAGGAUUCCCAGGAUUCCCAGGAUUCAGGAUUCCCAGGAUUCCCGGGAUUCAGGAUUCCCAGGAUUCAGGAUUCCCAGGAUUCGGGAUUCCCGGGAUUUGGGAUUCCCGGGAUUCCCAGGAUUUGGGAUUCCCCGGAUUCCCAGGAUUUGGGAUUCCCCGGGAUUCGGGAUUCCCAGGAUUCGGGAUUCCCGGGAUUUGGGAUUUCAUGGGAUUUGGAAUUCCCCGGAUUCCCAGGAUUCGGGAUUCCCGGGAUUCAGGAUUCCCGGGAUUUGGAAUUCCCAGGAUUCGGGAUCCCCGGGAUUCGGGAUUCCCGGGAUUUGGGAUUCCUGGGAUUUGGGGUUUCUGGAAUUCCCAGGAUUUGGGAUUCCCGGGAUUCGGGAUUCCCGGGAUUCGGGAUUCCCCGGAUUCCCAGGAUUUGGGAUUCCCGGGAUUCGGAAUUCCCGGGAUUUGGGAUUCCCCGGAUUCCGGGCUCUCACCUGGCCGCUCCUCGCGGGCCGGGGCUCCUUCGGCCUCGGGCUCUCUGUGGCCGGGCCCCUCCUCCUCCUCCCCCUUCCGGGGCCCCUCGGCCUCGCUGCCAUCGCCGGGGGACGGCGGCGCCUCGGGGACGGCGGCCUGGGGGACACGGGAGCGGGGUCACCCUCGGGGACACCUCGGGGACACCUCGGGGACACCAGGACACCCUCGGGGACACCUCGGGGACACCUUGGGGACACCUCGGGGACACCUCGGGACACCUCGGGGACACCAGGACACCCCUGGGGACACCUCGGGGACACCUCGGGGACACCUUGGGGACACCCCAACCCCAGGGUGACAAUGGGGACAGGGUUGGGGACAGGGACAGGGUUGGGGACAGGGUCGGGGACAGGGUUGGGGACAGCUGGGGAC
ensembl:lncRNA